rnacentral:rRNA from 1 species
GCCAGACUCCUACGGGAGGCAGCAGUGGGGAAUAUUGCACAAUGGGGGAAACCCUGAUGCAGCGACGCCGCGUGAGUGAAGAAGUAUUUCGGUAUGUAAAGCUCUAUCAGCAGGAACGAGACAAGACGGUACCUGACUAAGAAGCCCCGGCUAACUACGUGCCAGCAGCCGCGGUAAUACGUAGGGGGCAAGCGUUAUCCGGAAUCACUGGGUGUAAAGGGAGCGUAGACGGCUGUGCAAGCCUGAAGUGAAAGGCGGGGGCCCAACCCCUGGACUGCUUUGGGAACUGUACGGCUGGAGUGCAGGAGAGGUAAGUGGAAUUCCUAGCGUAGCGGUGAAAUGCGUAGAUAUUAGGAGGAACACCAGUGGCGAAGGCGGCUUACUGGACUGUAACUGACGUUGAGGCUCGAAAGCGUGGGGAGCAAACAGGAUUAGAUACCCGAGUAC